GCCCAGAGCAGCCAGACACCAUCCCCCCCCCCCCCAAAACCCUUUUUAUUAUCAGUUGAAUCACGUCUCGUGCCAAGCAAAAGGUCAUUUCAGGUCAUCUUAGAGACGAAAGGAAAGGACGAGAAUCUCAUUCUUGGCCAUUCAUCAGAGAGAAAAAAUGUUGCCCAAGAAAGUGCAUGUUCUGGAAGCAAGAGCCCUGUGUGGGGGUGGGGCGCGUUCCUGGGGAGCCUGGAAUGUCUUGAGAGGAGUAGGGUUGGCUGCCUGAACCUCUGGAGAGGGGCACAGAGUAGGCACCCUACUAAGCAAUAUGUUUAAAUAUUUCUAUCACAAGCAGGGAUCUCUUUGUUUGGUGGUAAGGAAAAAAUACUUUGCAUAGACUAUUUUUCUACACUUUACUAGAAAGGGGUAGCCUAUUUUUUGAACUCUCUAUUGGGAAGAUGCCUUCUAUGUCUUUUGAGUUUCUAAUUCAAUGCCGUUUCAAUAAAGACAAUUAGCUUUUCUGAA